rnacentral:tRNA from 1 species
GCAGUGGUGGUUUAGUGGUAAAAGUCUCGCCUUUCACGCAGGCGACCUGGGUUCGAUUCCCAGCUGAUGCG